rnacentral:rRNA from 1 species
AUUGAACGCUGGCGGCAGGCCUAACACAUGCAAGUCGAGCGGAUGAAGGGAGCUUGCUCCUGGCUUCAGCGGCGGACGGGUGAGUAAUGCCUAGGAAUCUGCCUGGUAUUGGGGGAUAACGUCCGGACACGGGCGCUAAUACCGCAUACGUCCUGAGGGAGAAAGUGGGGGAUCUUCGGACCUCACGCUAUCAGAUGAGCCUAGGUCGGAUUAGCUAGUUGGUGGGGUAAAGGCCUACCAAGGCGACGAUCCGUAACUGGUCUGAGAGGAUGAUCAGUCACACUGGAACUGAGACACGGUCCAGACUCCUACGGGAGGCAGCAGUGGGGAAUAUUGGACAAUGGGCGAAAGCCUGAUCCAGCCAUGCCGCGUGUGUGAAGAAGGUCUUCGGAUUGUAAAGCACUUUAAGUUGGGAGGAAGGGCAGUAAGUUAAUACCUUGCUGUUUUGACGUUACCAACAGAAUAAGCACCGGCUAACUUCGUG